ensembl:lncRNA
AAUCUAUAGACAGUUGGCUUUAAACUCCUAUGUCAUGUUGUUAUAAAUCACAACAUAGAAUCUAUAGACAGUUGUUAUAAAUCACAACAUAGAAUCUAUAGACAGUUGUUAUAAAUCACAACAUAGAAUCUAUAGACAGUUGGCACUAAACCCCUAUGUCAUGUUGUUAUAAAUCACAACAUAGAAUCUAUAGACACACGGCAGGGUGAUAAAGACACUGGGCUGCUGAGGACAUCAGAUGCACCAGACACUGGACAUACAUCACAUUACUCUAGACUACUGUUCUGUCAGUUCAGACACAACGGAGCUCUAGUUAUUCCCGUAGCAGGGAUAGAAUGGAGACUAAAAGCUGCUACGUUUUGUUUGUAGGAGCAACCCCAGGUGAUCUGGGACAUAACAAGUUGAUAGAGCUGAAGAUUCUGUGUUGCAGUUUUCUUUAACCUUUUGGAUCAAUUUCUCUUCAAAUGAAUAUAUCAGCUUCGAUUUUCAUGUUUGUGAAAAAAACAAGUAUCAUAGUGUGUGAUCUGGUGAACUGACCUUUCACAUUCAAACUGACCCCUGACCCCUGACCCCUGUGAGAGAUGACAUCAUCCAAACUCGUCCUGUACUAGACGCAAAACACAGACCAGGUGUGAGAACACAGACAAACAAAGAGAUAGCUUUGUAGCUAACGACGACACCUCACCUGGAGCACUGGAGGCUGGUGGGAGCGGGAGAUAUCGGAGGACGGGCUCACAUUGUUAACAGCUGGAAUGGGAUAAAACGGAGCGGUAUGAAAACGCGUGACGACUGAGCCUGUCAAUUUAACUACAUCUCCACCCACCAGCCUCCACUGACCCGUAACCAAGGUAACCAACAUGUCCAUCUAUAGAAGACAAGUCAUCGGGGUGUGAGGUAAAGCUACAAUACAAAACCAAUGAGAAUAACAUCACUAGCUAACUAAAGAUACAUGUAACAGUGAUUAUGCCAGUCACUUCUGAGUGGUCAGUCGGGCUUGAUGUUUCCAUAUAGUGCCAUGUUGUGAAUACAUUUAUAAUUACAUGUUAAUGGAGUAAAUUGAAAACCUGUAUUUAAAAUUAAAAAAAAAAAACUGUUCCAAAAUAUUACAGAUGAGUAGUUGUGUUAAAGCUAAGGGCAUAUUUGUUCUCAAAUGGAUUCUACCGGGUCAGAGAAAGAAGGAACGAGCAAAGAUAACUCUGUCCUAUAUAUUACAUGUCUAUUUUUCAUAUAACAUAAUAAAUACAACUUGGAAUUAUCAGCAGCUUACUCCUGGUGACGAUUCUGUUUUUCUGAUCAACUGUCUCAUCUCUGUCCGCCAUUUUAUGUCCUUAAGCUCUUUAUCAUCGUAAUAUAUAGUUAUUGUCUUAUACAGAACAUCUGCUAUUAUCAACAUCCUGUAAAGACACAGGAAGAGGACUUCUGAAGGGAAGUAGAGACAUGACCUUGUUAUUUCUAGCAGCUUGAAGAGGAGCGAGGGAGAGAGAGAGGCGUGAGGGAGAGAGAGGCGCGAGGGAGAGAGAGGCUGGUGGGAGAGAGAGGCUGGUGGGAGAGAGAGGCGCGAGGGAGAGAGAGGCGCGAGUGAGAGAGAGAGGCGUGAGGGAGAGAGAGGCGCGAGGGAGAGAGAGGCUGGUGGGAGAGAGAGGCGCGAGGGAGAGAGAGGCGCGAGAGAGAGAGAGAGGCGCGAGGGAGAGAGAGGCGCGAGAGAGAGAGAGAGGCGCGAGGGAGAGAGAGGCGCGCGAGAGAGAGAGGCGCGAGGGAGAGAGAGCGAGGGAGAGAGAGGCUGGUGGGAGAGAGGCGCGAGGGAGAGAGAGGCGCGAGUGAGAGAGAGGCACGAGGGAGAGAGAGGCGCGAGAGAGAGAGAGAGGCGCGAGGGAGAGAGGCGCGCGAGAGAGAGAGGCGCGAGGGAUAGAGACAGAGGCUAUAAACGGUGCUCCUAGAAAUAGAACUCGAGGACUCUCACAGCGUUUGAUGACUCACCAGGUUAAUGGUUUCUCUAGGCUGUGUGUGACUCUCUCUGUCUCAUUCCCAACCUAUGCGACUGCAGAUAGGAUGGGAGAGGAGGGGCUGCUGCAAACUGUCUCUUAUGGUAAUCAAUCCACGAGGAUUCAAAAGCACAUUUUAGACAUUUUAUUUUUCAGGUGUUGGGUCAUGUAACUCAUUACACAGACCUUCCAUCCAUACCAUCAUAUAAUAACUCAUGUCGUGUCUUUGGCUAUGCCGGAUUAAGUGAUAUGACAUGCUAUUCUAUCAAAUAAUGUCUCUGUAAUUAAUAUUACCUGAUUGAGCUAAUCAUGUAAAUGUCAUUAACUAGAGAGUCGGGGCACCACGAAAUAAUAUUUAUAGAGCUGUUAUCUUCCGAAUAAACUCUUAAAGACCUGG